rnacentral:rRNA from 1 species
AACGAACGCUGGCGGCAUGCCUAACACAUGCAAGUCGAACGAGACCUUCGGGUCUAGUGGCGCACGGGUGCGUAACGCGUGGGAAUCUGCCCUUGGGUUCGGAAUAACAGUUGGAAACGACUGCUAAUACCGGAUGAUGACGUAAGUCCAAAGAUUUAUCGCCCAAGGAUGAGCCCGCGUAGGAUUAGCUAGUUGGUGAGGUAAAGGCUCACCAAGGCGACGAUCCUUAGCUGGUCUGAGAGGAUGAUCAGCCACACUGGGACUGAGACACGGCCCAGACUCCUACGGGAGGCAGCAGUGGGGAAUAUUGGACGAUGGGCGAAAGCCUGAUCCAGCAAUGCCGCGUGAGUGAUGAAGGCCUUAGGGUUGUAAAGCUCUUUUACCCGGGAUGAUAAUGACAGUACCGGGAGAAUAAGCUCCGGCUAACUCCGUG